rnacentral:tRNA from 1 species
CAUUAGAUGACUGAAAGUAAGUACUGGUCUCUUAAACCAAUUAAUAGUAAAUUCACGAUUACUUCUAAUG